rnacentral:rRNA from 1 species
UUAACAUGCAAGUCGCACGGAAGCUUCGGCUUCAGUGGCGGACGGGUGAGUAACGCGUAGGUAUCUGUCCACGGGUGGGGGAUAACUCCGGGAAACUGGAGCUAAUACCGCAUAAUACCUGAGGGUCAAAGGCGCAAGUCGCCUGUGGAGGAGCCUGCGUUCGAUUAGCUUGUUGGUGGGGUAAUGGCCUACCAAGGCGAUGAUCGAUAGCUGGUCUGAGAGGAUGAUCAGCCACACUGGGACUGAGACACGGCCCAGACUCCUACGGGAGGCAGCAGUGGGGAAUAUUGGACAAUGGGGGCAACCCUGAUCCAGCAAUGCCGCGUGUGUGAAGAAGGUUUUCGGAUUGUAAAGCACUUUCGGCGGGGACGAUGAUGACGGUACCCGCAGAAGAAGCCCCGGCUAACUUC